rnacentral:sRNA from 1 species
GUAACGGCCAGUGAAGCGGCAACAGCUCAAAUUUGAAAUCUGGCCGCAAGGUCCGAGUUGUAAUUUGUAGAGGAUGCUUUUGGCGAGGUGACUUCCGAGUUCCCUGGAACGGGACGCCAUAGAGGGUGAGAGCCCCGUACGGUCGUGCCACCGAGCCUCUGUAAAGCUCCUUCGACGAGUCGAGUAGUUUGGGAAUGCUGCUCUAAAUGGGAGGUGUACGUCUUCUAAAGCUAAAUACCGGCCAGAGACCGAUAGCGCACAAGUAGAGUGAUCGAAAGAUGAAAAGCACUUUGAAAAGAGGGUUAAAAAGUACGUGAAAUUGUUGAAAGGGAAGCAUUCAUGACCAGACUUGGGCUUGGUUGAACAUCCGGCGUUCUCGCCGGUGCACUCUGCCAGCUCAGGCCAGCAUCAGUUUGCCCCGGGGGACAAAGGCGGCGGGAAUGUGGCUCCCUACGGGGAGUGUUAUAGCCCGUCGUGUAAUGCCCUGGGGUGGACUGAGGUUCGCGCUUCGGCACGG